rnacentral:rRNA from 1 species
UACAGAGGGUGCAAGCGUUUGUCCGGAAUUACGUGGCGUAAAGAGCUCGUAGGCGGCCUGUCGCGUCCGCUGUGAAAACCCCGGGGGCUCAACCCCCGGGGCUUGCUUUCGAUACGGGUAGACUAGAGGUAUGGCAGGGGAGAACGGAAUUCCUGGUGUAGCGGUGAAAUGCGCAGAUAUCAGGAGGAACACCCGGUGGCGAAGGCGGUUCUCUGGGCAUGACCUGACGCUGGAGGAGCGAAAAGUGUGGGGGAGCGAACAGG